rnacentral:rRNA from 1 species
AGCAGCCGCGGUAAUUCCAGCUCCAAUAACGUAUAUUAAAGUUGUUGCAGUUAAAAAGCUCGUAGUUGAAUUUCGGGGUUAGUAGGUUGGUCAUGCCACUGGUAUGUACUGGUCUCACUGAUUCCUCCUUCCUGAUGAGCCGUAAUGCCAUUAAUUUGGUGUUGCGAGGAAUCUGGACUGUUACUUUGAAAAAAUUAGAGUGUUUAAAGCAAGCUAACGCUUGAAUACAUUAGCAUGGAAUAAUGAAAUAGGACGUUCGAUCCUAUUUUGUUGGUUUCUAGGAUUGACGUAAUGAUUAAUAGGGAUAGUUGGGGGCAUUAGUAUUCAAUUGUCAGAGGUGAAAUUCUUGGAUUUAUUGAAGACUAACUACUGCGAAAGCAUUUGCCAAGGAUGUUUUCAUUAAUCAAGAACGAAAGUUAGGGGAUCGAAGACGAUCAGAUACCGUCGUAGUCUUAACCAUAAACUAUGCCGACUAGGGAUCGGAUGAUGUUAAUUUUUAAUGACUCAUUCGGCGUCCG